rnacentral:rRNA from 1 species
CCCAGCUCGUCAUGCUAGAGCACAUUUUCAAUGUGCUCCCCAACGAGAAGGCGAUGAUGCAUUCGUAUGUCAAUCCAUAUAAACUUUCGAUGCCAUUGACUGCGCCUACCAUGGUAAACAACGGGUAACGGGGAAUCAGGGUUCGAUUCCUUCCAGGGACCCUGACAAACGGCUACCACCUGCAAGGAAGGCAGCAGUCGCGCAAAUGACCCACUCCCGACGCGGGAAGGUAGUGACG